CCCCGCACAAGCAGCGGAGCGUGUGGUUUAAUUCGAUGCUACACGAAGAACCGUUACCAGGGUUGACAUGCAAGUGGUAGGAAGCCGAAAGGUGACCGACCCUUCGGGGAGCUUGCACAGGUGCUGCAUGGCUGUCGUCAGCUCGUGUCGUGAGAUGUUCGGUUAAGUCCGCUAACGAGCGCAACCCUCGCUGUGUGUUAUAUGUGUCACACGGGACUGCCGGUCUUAAGCCGGAGGAAGGUGGGGAUGAUGUCAAGUCAGCAUGGCCUUUAUAUCCUGGGCUACACACACGCUACAAUGGCCAACACAAUAGGUUGCUAAGCCGCGAGGUGGCGCCAAUCCAUAAAGUUGGUCUCAGUUCAGAUUGUAGGCUGCAACCCGCCUGCAUGAAGAUGGAGUUGCUAGUAACCGCAGGUCAGCUAUACUGCGGUGAAUACGUUCCCGGGGCUU
rnacentral:rRNA from 1 species